rnacentral:misc_RNA from 1 species
UCCGGUUUGUCACCGGCAGUCUCCGUUAAGUGCCCAACUGAAUGAUGGCAAUGACGGACAAGGGUUGCGCUCGUUGCGGGACUUAACCCAACAUCUCACGACACGAGCUGACGACAGCCAUGCAGCACCUGUGUAUCCAUUCUCUUGCGAGCACUCCCCAAUCUCUUGGGGAUUUGAACCAUGUCAAGGGUAGGUAAGGUUUUUCGCGUUGCAUCGAAUUAAUCCACAUCAUCCACCGCUUGUGCGGGUCCCCGUCAAUUCCUUUGAGUUUUAAUCUUGCGACCGUACUCCCCAGGCGGUCAACUUCUCGCGUUAGCUGCGUUACCAAGACAUAUUUGUCCCAACAACUAGUUGACAUCGUUUAGGGCGUGGACUAC